AACUUGAAUUGUUUUAUCCUAUAUCCAAAGAGAUGAUCUUUGUUUUCCAGAGAGAGAGAGAGAGAGAGAGAGAGAGAGAGAGAGAGAGAGAGAGAGAAAAGACCAGACCAUAUCAAGAAGAUAAAAUAUCCUCAUGCUCUGUAAAACUAAUUAGGUUUCUUUGAAGUUACCUUGAAAGGGCUUUGUUCUGGCAAGGUGAUAAUAACAUUCUGGAAAUGCCUCCUUAGAAGCCAGCAAAUAAAAGGAAGGCGGAUGAAGAAAAGACUCAAACCUUGCAAGGCCUUUGGGGGGCUUUGGGGGACAUAUGGACGAUAGGACACCAAGCAGUGCACUCUGUGGAGGCUUUUCCAACCCAAGUGAUGCUCCCUGGACUUGUGCCAAUUGUGGUCAUAUCCCUAUUCAGCACUCAUGCCAAUCUGGCCCAUGCAGAAAACGACAGCAAACAUGAAAGGCCAUUGGUGAAAGAGGCCCUGGCACGGGCAAGGCAGCUGGUCUCCUUGGCGUAUCAUCGCUCUAGAAGCAGGUAUGAAUUUCCAGGUGAUGCAGGUGGCAGAGAGCAUCUU
rnacentral:lncRNA from 1 species